GGUUAAGCGACUAAGCGUACACGGUGGAUGCCCUGGCAGUCAGAGGCGAUGAAGGGCGUGCUAAUCUGCGAUAAGCGCCGGUAAGGUGAUAUGAACCGUUAUAACCGGCGAUACCCGAAUGGGGAAACCCAGUGUGAUUCGUCACACUAUCAUUAACUGAAUCCAUAGGUUAAUGAGGCGAACCGGGGGAACUGAAACAUCUAAGUACCCCGAGGAAAAGAAAUCAACCGAGAUUCCCCCAGUAGCGGCGAGCGAA
rnacentral:rRNA from 1 species